CAGUUGCGAAUACAUCGUACAACCUGCAUAAUCAAUUUGCUCCCCAAGAAAAACGUUCUAACAAAAUAUUGAUAAAAUGAAGUUUAUUAUUUUCGUUAUUAUUACUAUGAUUACUAUGGUUGCUUCUGAAGAAUGUCGAGGUGAAUAUGACAUAUGCAUUCCUGGGAUUUUAGAUUGUUGUUCGCCAUUGAAGUGUCGCAAUGUUAGAAUUACUGACUACAUAAUUAUGAUGUGUAAGUAGAAUGCCGUAGCCAGGAAUUGCGGAU